rnacentral:rRNA from 1 species
GAGAUCGUACCCGAAACCGACACAGGUGGACUGGUAGAGAAUACCAAGGCGCUUGAGAGAACCACGUUUAAGGAACUCGGCAAAAUGCUCCCGUAAGUUCGCGAGAAGGGAGCCCCGUCUGUAGGCAACUAUGGGCGGGGGGCACAAACCAGGGGGUGGCGACUGUUUACUUAAAACACAGGGCUGUGCGAAGCCGUAAGGCGACGUAUACAGUCUGACGCCUGCCCGGUGCUGGAAGGUUAAAAGGAGGGGUGCAAGCUCCGAAUUGAAGCCCCAGUAAACGGCGGCCGUAACAAUAACGGUCCUAAGGUAGCGAAAUUCCUUGUCGGGUAAGUUCCGACCUGCACGAAUGGCGUAACGAUCUCCCCGCUGUCUCAAACGUGGACUCAGCGAAAUUGAACUGUGUGUCAAGAUGC